AGAUUGAACGCUGGCGGCAGGCCUAACACAUGCAAGUCGAGCGGUAGAGAGGUGCUUGCAUCUCUUGAGAGCGGCGGACGGGUGAGUAAUGCCUAGGAAUCUGCCUAGUGGUGGGGGAUAACGUUCGGAAACGGACGCUAAUACCGCAUGCGUCCUACGGGAGAAAGCGGGGGACCUUCGGGCCUCGCGCCAUUAGAUGAGCCUAGGUCGAUUAGCUAGUUGGUGAGGUAAUGGCUCACCAAGGCGACGAUCCGUAACUGGUCUGAGAGGAUGAU
rnacentral:rRNA from 1 species